CUCCUCUCUCUCCAAGAAGAAAGGGUCCUGCCUCCACACUCCAGGCAUCUCACCAGAGGGAGAGUUUGGAGGUGCUCACGGAUCAGUGGAAGGAUCACAUUUUCCAAGUCGGUGUCCAGGACUACAUUUACAGGAUACACCCAGGAUAUAACCCCUGGGUUGUGUGCCCACCUGUCCACAGCCUGUUAGGAACCUGGCUGCACAGCAGGAGCUGUGAGAUGAGU